GAAUCGCUAGUAAUCGUGGAUCAGAAUGGCACGGUGAAUACGUUCCCGGGCCUUGUACACACCGCCCGUCACACCAUGGGAGUGGACUGCACCAGAAGUGGUUAGCCUAACUUCGGAGGGCGAUCACCACGGUGUGAUUCAUGACUGGGGUGAAGUCGUAACAAGGUAGCCGUAGGGGAACCUGCGGCUGGAUCACCUCCUU
rnacentral:rRNA from 1 species